CCCUGGGUUGGACACCUGUCACCUGGGCGGGAGAAGGAAGAAAGACUCGGACUGGAGUUCCUAGAAAGGACAGGCAUAGUGGGGUCCUGUUGUGCGAGAGGGAUUUAAGUCGAAAUUAGUUAUUCAGACGCCGGUCGGUUAGGGUGUGGGCAUGGGUGUCGGUACCAUUCCCCCUACGCAGACCUUAGGCUACCAACCUAUCAGCAGGCCGCAGCUACCUUUAGUCUAAAGACCUCCAGCUCAGGGCCCAGCCCGCAGCUGCGCCCGGGCCCCGCACCGAAGGGGUUAAGCGACGGCCCUCCGCUCAGACGUUUACAAACACUCGGGAGCCGGGCGGGGACCGCGCCCGCUACUCUAAUGAGAAACAGGCUCGGCGGGGCCGGGGCGCAGGGGAGGGCUGGCCCGGCCGGCCCGAGCUCCGCCGCGGCCGAGGCGACUGCCCGCCCCCCUCCCCUCCCGCCCUCCCUCUGGCCCGCCCUGGGGACCCCCCAGCCCCGGGGGACCCCAGUGACGUGCGGAGCUGCCCCGGCGGCGAGCCCAGGACCGCGACGCCGGAGGGGCGGGGAGAAGAAGCCAGGCCGGCGGGGAGAGAAGAAUGUUCCGAGGCCGAGCGGGGAGCUUCAUCAUGGAAAUAAAGAAAGGAGAGACCCAAGGAGAGAGAGAGUGAGGAGCAUCCUGAGACGGACUGCCAACCCGCACCCAAGAGGCUGACCGAGGGCCGUGGGAAGCCGAGGCAAGGCGGGCGGGGGCGGAGACCCUGCCCCUGCUCUAGCUCUGCAUCCCCGACACGCCGCCUACGCACCCCGCGGCCCCCCGCCCCCUGAUCCGCUCCGCAGCGCUAGCAUUCUUUUCAAAUGUCAUAUUUCCUUUGAUCCUGGGCAGCGUUUCUCCAUGUGUCUGGCUCAGCUCCUGCCCAGCCAGCCGCUCCCCCCGCCCUCACCCCCUCUGUGUAUUUUCCUGAGGUCCCUCCCCCUCCUCCCAGCAUCUGGAAGGCCCUGAGGACUGGCGUUGGCGCACAUUCCCCUGGAGACUCUGGCCUCGCCUUCCAGUGACUCAAUUUCCCCUCUGCGGGUGGGGGCCGGGAGGUGUGGUGCGGGCGGAGAAAAGAGUUGUUGCGCGUAAAAGUGGUAUGAACGAGCCUGCAGACUGCUCAGAGCGCCAAGCUUUCCUCGUGGGGCAGAGGAGGGGGGGGCUCCCCUCGACUCUGAAAACCCUCGGAUCUGUCUGAACUGCAGCUAAGGGAUGGAAUUUAUAACUUCUGCGAAGUCCCCCGAAGUCCGGGGAAGAGUGGGUAGUUGUAGGUUUGGGUUACUCCGCACAUCUGCCCCCUGGCGACCACAAAGACCCAGCCGCCUGCCCUCCCGCGGGUCCAGUUUCUCGACCCCUGGCCUUGGUCCCCGAUCCGCGAUCCCCUAGCGCGCACGUCUGAGCACAGCUCUUCUUUCUCACCUUGUGUUCAUGGAGCGUUGACUUCUGCUCUCCACUUUCACAAGCGUGACUCAACGGCCUUGGAAGCGGACUUUCGUUGUUGCUGCUGUUUCUAAAUUACACAAAAUACAGUCUCCUUGUAAAGAAUUCAAGCCAUACAAAAAUAUAUAGUAAGCUGUGAUACCCCACCA